GCUACGUGAUGAGUUCCACUUCUGGUCCGUGUUUCUGAAACGCAUGAUCAUAAUGGAAGUUCUGACUGG